rnacentral:rRNA from 1 species
AAAUUAUUUCAAUUUUCUUUUACAAUACUAUUACACUAUAAUUAAAAUAAUUUUUUUUUUAUAAAAUACUAAAACAAAUCUUUAUAUAAUUAUUUUUAAUAAAUAAAAAUUUUAAAAUUAAUAAAUUAAUAAAUAAAAUAUAAUCAAUCUAUAUUGAUUUGCACAAAAAUCUUUUCAAUGUAAAUGAAAUGCUUUACUUUAUAAGCUUUAAAUUGCAUUCUAGAUACACUUUCCAGUACAUCUACUAUGUUACGACUUAUCUUACCUUAAUAAUAAGAGCGACGGGCGAUGUGUACAUAUUUUAGAGCUAAAAUCAAAUUAUUAGUCUUUAUAAUUUUACUAUCAAAUCCACCUUCAAUAAAUAUUUCAAAUUUAUAUUCGUAUAAAUAAAUUUAUUGUAAUUCAUUUCUACUUAAACAUAAGCUACACCUUGAUCUGAUAUAUUUUCUUUUAAAAAAUUAUGAAAAUUAACAUUCUCAUAAAAUAUUCUAAUAACGACGGUAUAUAAACUGAUUACAAAUUUAAGUAAGGUCCAUCGUGGAUUAUCGAUUAUAGAACAAAUUCCUCUGAAUAGACUAAAAUACCGCCAAAUUUUUUAAGUUUCAAGAACAUAACUA